rnacentral:lncRNA from 1 species
UAAGCUUACGUUAUUAAAGCCUGUGCUUUGUUACUUGAAUAAAGGUUUUGAGACCUCACUGACGUGUGAUAAGCAGCAGCCCACUGGUAUCGAUUGCAGCUCGUGCCGUUUAUCGAUUCAAAUUCUACGGCGGUUAUAUUUGCGAACGGGGGGUGGUCGUUUCCUUUGUGCAGCAUCACGCAGGUUCGUCUUAAUUAGCCAACAAUAAUAUCUCAGCCAGUUUAUGCAUCCGACAUUCGAUAGCCGCUAACAGACGAUCGUGUUUAAAGACGGUGAAUUUGGUCAGCUGCGGCGUUUCACUGGCGUAAUGGGUACAUACACGGCUUCCGUCGUCAGUGGUCUGCCACGUAAUGACGGGUUGCUUGAAAAAAAUGUGCUAGCUAGCGUGAAAACUCGUCGCUGGAACCGAGCACAGUCUGUCUGGAAACUACCCAAGAAAGCGGAUUAACCUUGCAUCUUCUGGGUGUGUGCACCGCCUCCAAGAUGCUGCUCAUAUUUGAUCACCACUUUGGACUCUAUUGUCUCUGGACGUACAAGUCACCAGUGAAUGUGUCACCACAGAGGCAGAAUCCUCGCAAGGUAUGUUUCUGAACACUUCAACUAGAACUGUGAUUUGUUCAUUUAUUGGACAAACUUUUGUUUCCCCAUUCCUUGCUUGCAUGUUUGUCAUGGCUUCAUGAUUUCUCUUUUCAGGAAGAAGGACAAAAGAGAGAUUAUUGGUUUGCAAGCUACCCACGCCAAGCCAUAAGAAGAUCAACGGACACCAUAAUAACAACAGGUCCUCUUGAACUACAUGCCUCACCAUGACAUGUUUGCAAGCUUACCAGAUAGAGGGCUGUGAGCCCUAUCAGGAAAGCAAGUCUACAGUUUUGUAUCGUACCGAGUCGCGAUGCUAAAAUAUGACAUACAAGCUUG